UCCUUAUUCCAUGUUAUCUAUACUGGCUGAGUCCUAAAGUUUGCAUAUGGAAUGAAUAAAAGCCCUCAAGAGUUCUCAACUCUAACCAGCUGCAAAGAUAUGCAGGUGUCUGUCUGCAGUUCUUUGACUACUGUCUUUGCAAACUAAAGCAUUGGGUCACAGCUAACUUGGGACACCUGGUCAAAAUGAAUCAACUGCCUUGGUGGCCCUGGCCAGAGCCUGCUGCCCUUCUGAGAACUGGGUGAACCUCAUGUACUCCUUAACAUUGAUUCCUGUGAUGUCAAUUGUCAUCUCUUCUGGCAUUCUCUCAGGCUGUGGUCUGUGGAAACAAACCCAGAAGAUUAAGGGAGAAUGAAUGAAUUGCAAACACAAAUUUGGAAUUAUUAGGGCCUAAGGCUGAGAUGGCACAUCUCUCAAAAAAGGUGCUAAAACCUAAGGCAUCACUUGGACCCGUAACACUGUUGUUUAGGUAUUGUGGUCCAAAUUCAGUGUCACAUGACUGUAAAAGCAGGAUUUAGUCACUUUUUGAUGUUAUCUUGUUGAAUCUCUGACUUAAUAGUUUCCAAAUGUUUUCACAUAAACUGAUUAUGCAGCUGCUGCUGGUUUCUGUGUUUCAGCAGCUCUAAAUGUGGGGCCCUUAGGAGAGCACAAAAAUAGAUUUGGGGCUGCCUUGGCAUGACUGCUUUUAGGCCUGCCUGGCAGUGAUCACAGCUAAUGUGGCUGCAGAGCUCUUGGUUGGGUCUGUACAGUUUGAAAUUGAUCCACAUAUUUGCUCUGCAUCUGCUCUUCCCUGUGAAGAACUUCAGGAGGAAUAUUAGUAAUGACCUUGGGAGUGAAAAUUGCCCAUAAGGAAGAUGAGCAUAUGUUACACAUUCUUUACAGCAGGGGAGCCAAGAAGAGUUGUGUUUGUGAUCGCUGCACCUGUGUCAGUGGAAAAGGAUCAGUGCCAUGCUGGCUAAUGAAAUAAUGCACCUCCCCUGACAUGGACAGAGCAAUCACUAUGCUGCCAUGGGAAGAAGUGCCCUAAUGAAGGGUAUUUGAACACUGAUCACUGGAGAUGUGUACACCAGUCUGGGGAUCAUGGGAUUUUCUGUGCUGUGUAUACUGUGUUACCCUGGAGUCCUCUCAAAUCUGUCCAAGAUCAAAGAACUUU